GACGAACGCUGGCGCGGUGCCUAAUACAUGCAAUUUGACCGCGAAGGGUGGGUCCUGGUACCACUUGGUGGACAGGCGAAGGGGGGAGUAAGCCGUGGGAACUCUGCCUUUAAGGGGGGGCCAACAUUGGGAAACGAAUGCAAAUACGGCUUAAAACCUUUAACCACAGUUUUUAAGUUGAAAAGAGCCAAUGGCAUCAUCAAAAGUUAAACCCCCUUUGUAUUAGCUAGUUGGUGAGGUAAAGGCUCACCAAGGCGAUGAUACAUAGCCAACCGGAGAGGGUGAUCGGCCACAUUGGGACUGAGACACGGCCCAAACUCCUACGGGAGGCAGCAGUAGGGAAUCUUCGGCAAUGGACGAAAGUCUGACCGAGCAACGCCGCGUGAGUGAAGAAGGUUUUCGGAUCGUAAAACUCUGUUGGUAGAGAAGGACGUUGGUGAGAGUGGAAAGCUCAUCAAGUGACGGUAACUACCCAGAAAGGGACGGCUAACUACGUG
rnacentral:rRNA from 1 species